CAUACACAUUUUAAGUUUUCAUAAUUAAUAUAAUCCAUAUUCAUCAAAACUUUUUAUGAAUUUUUAUGUAGGAUUAUUUCAAGAGCGCAACUAUAAAAUCUAAUAUUUAUGUUAAAAGAAAUAAAAUCAAAAUGAUAUCGAAGAUUGGCCUUCUAGAUUUGAAAUACCCAGAAGACGCGUAAUAAAUCGUAAAGAGUUAACUAACAUAAAUUCCACGAAGAAUAAAUAUUAACAGUUGGGGUCACAAGAAAAGUCAUAUAAAUAUGUGUAAUUAUAAAACUUGAUGUUGAAUAUGGGUUUCGAGAACAUUAGAAAUAUCUUUUGUGAUUAAGAAAUGACAUUUAGUACAUAUUAGAAAACAGAUGGCUCAUGAACUCUGCAGACCAAAAAUCGUCCACAAAAUUAUCGAAAGCCACAAAUUAUAUCGAUAUAACGGGAAUGGAACUUUAUAUCUCCCCAGCUAUGCACCUCAGAAGGACGGAAAGCAGCACGCAAGUGUCAAACAAAAACUCGGACGGAUGUCUGCACAUAUGCGAUGCACAGUGCAAGUAAAUAAAAAUACAAAGGAACUCAUUUGGAAUAUUUCAGUGCGUCGCCACAAAUAUAUGCGAUAGUUUAAAAAAUACUGGAAAGAUGAAAAUUAGAGCAGAAUACUAUGCUGUGCAUACUAGAAAAGUAAGAAGAGAAUUUGACAAGUUGUGAAAAUGCAUGAUAAUAGGAAAAAAAAAUGAAAUUUAACAUCUAUGUUUGCAAUAAUGUAUAUUUUAUACUAUAAACGUAUAUUGCAGUUAUUGCAGUUACUGCAGUCUCAUACAAUUUUAUAUGCAAUCAACUAACUAAAAGUUUCGACGUUGCAAAAAGUGAA